CUUCAGGUACUACCUGAAAUAAUUAGACACUUAGACACAAUUGGACACAUGCUAAAUGAAAACAUAUGGGGAUUGGAAAGUCUUCAGGUAUCGAAUGACAACAGAAGAAUGACCGAUGUAAGUCGAGCCGAGCCGAUACAAGCCGAGCCAAGCCUAUAUAAGCCGAGUCGAGUGCUAGUUCCCCCAAUUACCAGUGCUGAUGAAUGAAAUCUUGGGUUCCCCCAAUUACCAGGUCAAGGAUACUCUUUUCAUAGCUUUCGAACAAACACAUACAAACUGAGCUUUAUGGAGAGUCCCUCUGGGA